rnacentral:tRNA from 1 species
CAAAUUAAAGCUAGUAAGCGUUUUAGUUACAUUAAAAAGAAUAUUGUAGAUUCAGUAUAGUUUGA